GUAAAUAUAUUACCUAACAAUUUGUUUGAUUCUUUUUUUCUAAUAGAAAUCAGAAAAUAUGGAACAGAGGUCUCUGGAAAGAGUGGUUUCACAGAGGGCUCUGCAGAUAGGAAGCUCAUAUCCAUGCCAAAUUUGUGUGCUUGCCUUUCUGUCUGGAGUUUGUCUCACCUCUUUAUUUCUUGUUGGACUUCCAAUUUCAACAUUCACUUCUUCAACAACCCUAAUAAGUCACUGCAAUGUUAAACAAGACAAGUUAGAAAGGUGGUUUGGAGAUAAGAGGCCACUCUCAUUACUCUACUCAUCUUGGAGUAAUCAAUCAUCAAAUGAAGGUAAAUCAAAAGCACCUCACUUGGAGAACUGCAAGCUAAGUGCCCAAACAAAUGAACGACUUGAUACCCGACUUGUAAAUCAUACCUUCCCUCCAUGGAAGGGACACUUUUCCUCCACACCUCAAGGAGCUUAUCCUCCCUGGAUCAAGGGGUCAGAUGAAGAAAAUUACCCCUUAACGAGGAAGGUGCAACGCGACAUAUGGCUCCAUCAACAUCCUUUAAACUGCAGUGAUGGAAAUGUUAAGUUUCUGAUAGCUGACUGGGAGAGAAUACCAGGGUUUGGUAUUGGUGCACAGAUAGCUGGAAUGUCUGGUCUUCUUGCAAUAGCAAUCAUUCAGAAAAGAAUUCUUGUUACCAGCUAUUAUAACCGUGCUGACCACAAUGGUUGUAAAGGUUCAUCACGCUCCAGUUGGUCUUGCUACUUCCUUCCAGAAACAUCUCCGGAAUGCAGAGAUCGUGCUUUUCAGAUCAUGAAACAAAAAGAAGCAUGGGAAAAAGGGAUCAUAACCAUAAAAGAAAACUAUACGUCUAAAGAGAUAUGGUCUGGACGCACUCCAAGGUAAAGAAGCUAUUACAGACUCCAUCAUGAAAAUAAAAAGACACCCAUAGAAUCCACA
rnacentral:misc_RNA from 1 species